rnacentral:rRNA from 1 species
UACGUAGGAAGCGAGCGUUAUCCGGAUUUACUGGGCGUAAAGUGAGCGUAGGUGGCUUUUCAAGUCGGAUGUGAAAUCUCUCGGCUCAACUGGGAGGGGUCAUCCGAUACUGUUGAGCUAGGGGACAGCAGGAGAAGGUGGAAUUCCCGGUGUAGUGGUGAAAUGCGUAGAUAUCGGGUGGAACACCAGUGGCGAAGGCGGCCUUCUAGGUUGUUUCUGACACUGAGGCUCGAAAGUGUGGGUAGCGAACAGAAUUAGAUACUCUGGUAGUCCACACCGUAAACGAUGGACACUAGGUAUAGGGAGUUUCGACCCUCUCUGUGCCGAAGCUAACGCUUUAAGUGUCCCGCCUGGGGACUACGGCCGCAAGGCUAAA